UUAACGAUGAUGAUGAUGAUAAACUUUAAUGAUCCAACCGGUGACGAGCAGCUAAACCAACAUGACUGAAUCAAUGAAUCUAAUCAACAACGAGCAAUGGAGAUGGGCUGCGAUUCGCGAUGAAUCCAACCGGUGACAAGCUACUCAACCGACUAGUGGGUGAUGCGUAAGAAGAAGAGAAGAGAGAGGAGCCAAGUGGUGAAACCACGAGGUGGUCGUCCGGUGUCGAGCAACAAAGAUUGCAAUCAACGAUGAGCUACUCAACCAAUAAAGAUGCUGCAGCCAUUCGUUUCUAGGUAAGAAAAACAAGAUGGGUUAUUCGACUACUAGGUCAAAGAUUUUGUUUUUUCCUUCUUUUUUUUUUUCAAUUUAUAUUUUUAAUUGCAAAGAGAAUAUUUUGGAAAAAUAGAAAAAACAAUCGCCAUAGUUUUGUCUUUAGGGGGAAUGGGAUACCCCCAAACUGGAAUGAGAAUCCCAUUAAUCAAUCCUUAUUUUAUGUGGAUCCCGUGCACCUUCUUCCAUUCCCACACUCAAUUAAACAAGUAAACAAUUUCUUUAUUCUGAUUCCCGUUACUGUCUAGUAAACACUCCCAAUAGUCUAAAAGUCUAAAAGAACAGCGUGAAGUAUUCUAUUCUCUAGAUUAUAGAUGAUACAUCCCCAAAAUCGAUCCUUCUUACCAAUAUACUUACAACCCCGUAGUGUAAGAAUCUAAAAAGAUACAGAGACCGAGGGGGAAAAAAAGAAAGAAAAAAUGAAAAACAAAGUUUCUUAGGUACACACUCCACUCGGAAAAAUUAUUUAAAAAAAAAAAAUCAAAAACUCGAACGAGAGAAGGAAUCAAAACAGAUCAAAGAACAUUAGUACGCCCUAAAACCAAAUUGCUCACGCCUCACGAUCUAGAAUGAAACUCUCCAGUCUCCACACUUUAGAAGAACAAAUACAAAUGUUUAGAACACCCAUGCAGCCCAUUCAAGUUUCAACCAUUUCCUGGGCAGAGCAGCAGUAACAGCUUUAACAGAUACAGCUCCCUGGUCUGAGCUGACUCAAAGAAACCUCUCUUCAGCUCACCACUGUUAUCUUUUCAGACCUGAGCCAUCUGCUGCUUCAGUGCCUGCAGGGACUUGAUUUUGGAUUCACAAAUCCGAAGAAAUGCAGAGAGUCCUGCACGCUGCCCAGCUACAAAUUUCCUUGCAACAUCAACAGGACUCCAAGAUUUCAUAGCUUGAGAUAUCCGAUCACCAAGUUCUGCCUCAUUCAAGGAUGAGAUCAGUGUUCCAAGAAGCCGGAACACCUGCCCAGGACCGUCACCCCUGUCAUUUGCCUCAAGAGAGGAGAAUAUAGCAUCUAACUUUUCAUCCUCUGACUUCUUGAUAUGAUGCCCUAACCACUUUGCUACCUCUUCCACUACGCCACUUGUAGAUUGAACAGAGCCCCGAAUAUCAUGAGACAGUGGAGAGGUAGAAUGAUCUGCAGAUCCACUUUUCUUCUUCUUCUUUCCAGAUGGAAGAGAUGAUCGGACACAAGAUUGCAUUACAAGUGUAUGCCAAGCCAACGGUUCUGUGACAAGUUGCACCAAAACUGAAAGAUCAAGCCGUGGAUAGCAUACAAGUGACUCCAUGGAUCUGACCUCCAAAAUACACUUCUUCAGCAGUGUAUUCACAACCUGCCAAGUAGAAGGCCUGCAUCCAUUUACAUCCGGCAGCACAACUUCAUGGGAACUCAAGUUCCAUGCAUUCAAAAAUACAGCAAAAUUCAACCAACCAACCAUGUCCGCACCAAAAGCCUGCCUCACAGGUAAAAAAGUUACUUUAAUAGGGCAGCAGUGUAACUAAUGAGUCAGCAAGCAUGCAUACGCCUCAAUUACUAACUUUUCUUCAGUGGCGAAGUGUACGCACUACUUGCACUUAAGAUGUAAUCAUGAUCAACCUGAUAGAAUUUCAGCUCUUUUAAUUUCCCAGAAAAUUUUGUUAUUUUACUAAGCUUAUUUCCAUGUUGUAUAUUUCCAUGCCAAAAUAUGUCAAAUGAACUUAUGGCUUUUAAAGGGAGAGGAGAAAUAUUUUGAAAAGCUUGCUAUGCCAAAUUCAAAAGUGGUUCACCAUGUAUAUCGGUUUUGGGUACUCACCACAUAGGCAUCUUGUCUAUGUAAUUGGAGCAUUGCAACGAAAUUCAGUAACACUUACAAAAUUAAAGGAUCCUAGCAAAGCGAAGAUAUGUGCUUGUAGUCAGAAAGCCAGCAAUCACUUACCUCAGAAGAGUUCAAGCCACUAGAAACCCCUGAAACCACUUCUACUGCAUCUCUUAAAGAAAACCCCAACAUUUUUGCAUAGCGAUCAAGCAAAUACUUCAGCUCUGACGAAACUUUUGGGUCACAUAUAGAUCCAUUGACUUCAAAGUUUUCCUUGACGCAUGCUGAAACAGUCUGAAUUGACAGAUAUAUCAACCGAGGCAGAAGAGAUUUCCUCUCAACAACUCCUAGUAUAUUUGCUUCCCUUUCUUUCAUCUAGAUUUGCUCAAUAUAUAGAAAACGAUCGAAAGUUACAAAACGAAAAGGAGGGAUUAUGUGUGUAUCAUUACAAAGUCAAGGACAGAGGAUAGUACCAAGUUCUCUUUAGGACAGUAGGAGAUUCCUGCAAAUGGACCUGUGCAAAACAAUUGUCAACACAUUGUAAGAAACGAACAUAAGAAGACACCCACUAUAACACCCAACACUGUCAUACACAACAUUGCAGAAUAAAUCUUGAAAGUUCUAACUUCUAAAAGCAUACAAAUCCUAAGCAAGGAAAGUAGUAUCAUUUUUCUUCAAGAACAAAAUUCAGAGAAGAGCCACACUACACUAGACAAUAUCUUAUCCUUUUCUGACGCAUCUUUAUUUUCGUUGACUUCUAUCAUUGUCAAACAAUUCAGUUGCACAAAAUGUUACCAUACCAAAGAACUGCAAGCACAUUGGAAAGGUCCAGUGUUUUAACUUACCUAACAGAUAAUUCUUAUCUGGAGUUGGUGCCCACCAGGGACGAGACUGCCAAUCUUCAUUGAAGGUCACAGAUUUGGAUCCAAUCUCAUUGGAUAGCUCAAGAAAGUGAACCCCGCAUUUCAAGUUUUCAAGAACAG
rnacentral:lncRNA from 1 species